rnacentral:rRNA from 1 species
GUAGGCGGCAAGCGUUGUCCGGGAAUUAUUGGGGCGUAAAGCGCGCGCAGGCGGUUCUUUAAGUCUGAUGUGAAAGCCCACGGGCUCAACCGUGGGAGGGUCAUUGGAAACUGGAGAACUUGAGUACAGAAGAGGAAAGCGGAAUUCCACGUGUAGCGGUGAAAUGCGUAGAGAUGUGGAGGAACACCAGUGGCGAAGGCGGCUUUCUGGUCUGUAACUGGCGCUGAGGCGCGAAAGCGUGGGGAGCAAACAGGAUUAGAUACCCUGGUAGUCCACGCCGUAAACGAUGAGUGCUAAGUGUUAGGGGGUUUCCGCCCCUUAGUGCUGCAGCUAACGCAUUAAGCACUCCGCCUGAGGAGUACGGCCGCAAAGGCUGA